rnacentral:rRNA from 1 species
AGGCUUAAUACAUGCAAGUCGAACGGAAACAGGCGGUAGCAAUACUUGCGCUGUCGAGUGGCGCACGGGUGCGUAACACGUAUGCAACCUACCCUUAACUGGGGAAUAACCCUGUGAAAGCGGGGCUAAUACCCCAUAACAUUAUGGUAAGGCAUCUUACUAUUAUCAAAGAUUAAUCGGUUAGGGAUGGGCAUGCGCCCCAUUAGUUAGUUGGUUAGGUAACGGCUAACCAAGACUGUGAUGGGUAGGGGUUCUGAGAGGAUUAUCCCCCACACUGGUACUGAGACACGGACCAGACUCCUACGGGAGGCAGCAGUAAGGAAUAUUGGGCAAUGGACGCAAGUCUGACCCAGCCAUGCCGCGUGCAGGAUGACGGCCUUAUGGGUUGUAAACUGCUUUUGUAUGGGAUUAAAGUGUUGUACGUGUACGACAUUGCAAGUACCACACGAAUAAGCAUCGGCUAACUCCGUGCCAGCAGCCGCGGUAAUACGGAGGAUGCAAGCGUUAUCCGGAAUCAUUGGGUUUAAAGGGUGCGUAGGUUGAUUAUUAAGUCAGUGGUGAAAAUUCCGGGCUCAACCCGGGACUUGCCGUUGAAACUGAUAAUCUUGAGUGUAACUGAUGUGGGCGGAAUGUGUCAAGUAGCGGUGAAAUGCAUAGAUAUGACAUAGAACACCGAUAGCGAAGGCAGCUCACAAAAUUACAACUGACACUGAGGCACGAAAGCGUGGGUAUCAAACAGGAUUAGAUACCCUGGUAGUCCACGCUGUAAACGAUGAUCACUAGCUGUUUGCGAUACAUUGUAAGUGGUUAAGCGAAAGCGAUAAGUGAUCCACCUGGGGAGUACGUCGGCAACGAUG